CGAAAUAAUUUUAUCUUCCAAGUAGAAAUCUGAGUCUUAUAUGCCAUUUAAAGAAAAAAUUCACGGAGCCAGGUUGCUGACUUCAAUAGAGGGCAAUUUUUCAUCAGCCAGACGGAAUAUAAUAGCUGUGGCAAAACUGAGGCAACUUGAAACCCUCAUAUUCACUGUGGAGCUCCCACUGAUACAUGGCCCAGUCACCUCAAAAAAAGCUUGACUCGCCAGGCCCUGAAGUGAUUCUGCGUGACUGCGACUGCGGAAGCACAGAUUUACAGAGGGUUCCUGCUCGGAGGCUGACAGGUCAGACCCACUGACCAAAUGAUUCAGAGAGACUGCUUAUGUAAGUAGGGACAUGUAUCGAGCUGAGGCCCAAGGAAUGCCGAUGGUCUCUCUGUUCGGGUCUUAAGAAAGGCCGUCGGGCCUUCUAAAGCCCUGCCCGAUUUCCAUACAAUGACUUGGAACACCGCACAGCUGUUUUUCCGCCAAGAAAACGAAAACAGGAAACCUGCGCUCCACAACUUCACACUGAGACUCGAAAGUACCAUAAUUAUAUCUUGACACAGGAGGGAGAACUGACUUACCAGCUUCGAUGCAUUCCGGCUUCAGGCAGUACUCCUGUUUGGCUUGGAGACUUAAGAAACCUUGACUCACUGAAAAAACAGACCAAAAUAAAGAAAUGACUGGCUGGUAGCAGAGCACCAUCAGAUUUUUCUGUAACCAGUGGAAAUGACCUCAGAAUGCAGUGGAGUCAUCCACAUAUCGGCAGCAUGAGAAGAACCAUAAAGCGGGGGCUCAGCAUACUAUGGCCCAUGGGGCCAAGUCCAGUCUCCUGCCAGUUUCUGUACAGCCUGUGAGCUAAAAAUGAUUUUUAUGUGUUUUAAUGGUUGGAAAAAACCACAAGAAGAAUAUUUCAUAAAAUGAUCUGAAAUUCAAAUUUCAAUGUUCAGAAAUCAAAUUAUAUCAGAACACAGUCAUGCGCAUUUGUGUACACAUUUGUCCGCGGUCGCUUUCUUGCCACGACAGGGUCAAGUAGCAGCAACAGAGACUGUAUGGCCCAGAAAGCUGAAAACAUUUAUUAUCUGACCCUUUCCAGAAAAAGUUUGCCCACCAUUGCAUUUGAGAAAGAGACUGUGGGGAUGAAGAGGUGAGGGAGGAGGAAAAGAAAGGACACUUUAAAAUAAACUGAUUAUUGGCAUAUGGUUAUACCUGUUGUUUUAAAUUCUAUUGCUGUAGCUUCUCUGAGACCACCCCAAGGCCAGUGGCAGUCGCUCUUACUGUGGAAGGACUAAGAUUUAGGGAAGAGAUUAGCCCAGAACCUAAAAUACAAAGAGGGAAGCUAGAAAUUGCAGGCCUGUGCCUGAAAUUGAACAGACAGAAAAAAUAUCAACCAGCAAGCACCUUGAGGAGAAGAGGACUUAACCAGAAUAUUGUCACACAGAGCAUUGCCUUUCAGGUCCCUAGAUAUUUUUAGACGAGGACUUCACUAGGUGCAGGGUGGAGGUGGCUGGCAGAGCCUGGGGGACUAGGCAGUAAAGAAGGGUCUGGCUGAAGGAAGGCUGAAACAGUGCAGAGAUGUUUGACAAAAGCUACUAAAGAAUGUGCAUUUAUCUUAAAGCAAAUAUCCCCAAAUGUAUACAUCCAAAUGGACGUGGUCAGCUAAAGCAAUGCUUCUCAAACUUUAAUUUGCAAAUGAAUCGCCUGGAGAUCUUAUGAAAACACAGAUUCUGAAUUAGUGGGUCUUGGGCUGAAGCGCAGGCUCCCAAAUGGUACUGAUGCUGCUGGUCCAUGGACCGCACUGAGUAGUGAGAGUGUCGGGAGGCCACACCUUUAUUCUCUAACAUCAUUCAGACUGCUCUUAGAA